UCCCUGAUAGCUCAGCUGGUAAAGAAUCUGCAUGCAUUGCAGGAGACCCUGGUUCGAUUCCAGGUCGGGAUG
rnacentral:tRNA from 1 species